AGUACAGUAAAAUAAUUUUCAUAUUGUGUUAACGUGCUUUGAUAAUAAAACAACUUCGUUAAAAUUCUCACAGAACGUUUAGGAAGCAUUAUUUUAGAUAUAUUUUGUCUUUUGUCACGUCUUCAAACGUUUAGACGAUUUUAAUAUUCAGUUUUUAUUUAACUGUAAAUGGACUAGUAUUUUAAGAGAGUAGGUUUUAAAUAUCAGUAUAUCUACAACUUAAAUUAAAUGAAAUUGGAAGGACGUAUUGCAGUUUUUAAGAAUCAUUUGAUAAAUAGUGAAUUGAAUAAAAUGAGAGAAGACAAAAACAUAAAAGGUGGAAAGGAUUUGCACUUCGAAAACACAGUAUGUUCUCUAAAUAAUUUAAUUUUACAUGCUUUGAUGUACAUCUCGCUGUUAACAAUUCCGAUACUGAUUGUUGUGAUGAUAGUUUCAAUAGUGACUUGUUCCAGCACUGCAAUGGGGACAAAAACUUUUAGCGAUACAUUUGUGCAUCUACUUAGUGAAGCUGCACACUUUUGGGCAAAAUGCGUUUUGGUCUUAAUUGCAGAAAUUGUAUUGGUCUUGUAUCCGUUGCAUCGGAUUGCGCAAGCGCAAAGACACAGUGAAAUUAUGACUUUCGUUCCAAUUGUCCUACUUACUGUUUCGUUUAUUGUCUUUAUGUUAAAGCUUGAACCAACCCCUCAAAACUUUUUUGAAUAUUUCCUAAAUUCAUUAAUUUUAUUUUUCUUCGUUUUAUUUUUUUGACUUUUCAUCACGUUACAGCUACGGCUUAAAACCGCCUUCUGUAGACCAACUACCUAUUUAAACAACAGUUAGUAAAAGAAAAUAUAAUAGACAAUAUCAACAAGGAAAGGCGGCGUUCAAUAGAUCCUCACAAAAGAUCUAAACACUCCAGAGCAACCCCUUUCCGGACAACCAAAUUACCUUUAUCGAAAUAGAUAUUACGCUACAGAGGUGGUUCUGUAUUAUUCAGAAUGUACAGAAUUGAUAUUUCCUACUUUAAUUCUAUUUCAAAAAUAUAAAAGUUGAUUUUUACUGCAUUGCAUAUGAAUUGUAUAUAAAAUAUGUUUGUUUGUUGGUUUGUUUGUUUCUUAAUUAAAUAUUACAAAAUGAUCAUUAACACCAUAUACCUAAAUUUAGUUUUUGUAUGUAAGAAUUACCAUAAUGGAUGUAAAAUUGUUUUAUGCUUUGAAUACAAGUAAACAUAUCUCAGUAUACAAAUCAUAAUUCAUUUAAAAUAGUUUUGACUUAUGAUUAAAUUAAGUUAUAUCUUGCAUGUAGAUUAGAAAAAUACAACAUCAACAAAAAGACAACAAAAAGUGCAAAACAGACGUGUACUCGUAUAAUUUUGCAAUUAAAUGUAAAAAAGUAAUAGUAAUUAAGUGAUUAACAUUUCAGCAUUUAAAUUGACUUUUCUGUAAAAAAAUGCACUGUUUAGUCACUCAACUGUGACUUUUGUAAAAACUUGAAGAAUUAAAAUGAUGUGUUAUGAGUUUUGGAGAUAUAGAUAUAUUUCUUAACCGACUAUCUUCUAAAAAAUCAAAUUAAAAAGAAAACGUACAUCAUAAAUUUGUGGCAAAACCUAUAUGACCAUUAAGAAGGUGAUGAAAAUGAUAGUCAGUGAGGCCGUUGUUUAAUCAGUAUUGGAACUGUUUCCUAGCAUAUAAGCCAACUGAUUUGAAAUUUAGAAAUUGUUGGUUUGCGUCAACCUUUAUUUAGCAACUUUUGUAAUUAAGCAACGGCAUAAAAUCCCGCCCGAUGAGUUUUACUAUGUUAGUUCAUUCCAUUUAACGACGGUUUAUAUCGCGACCAGCGUCAACUAAAUGUCGGCCCAAAUAUACGACAUUAAGUGUUUAAGUAUCUAUUAAACGGCCGUUACAAUUUCAAUAGUUUCAAAAUCGGAUAAAAAUUGCUGAACACAUUUUCCCCAUUGUAAUAUUCACUUAGCCAUAUUUUGUUAGAGCAAUAACAAAUACAACACCGCAUUUGUCAUGUGCUAAGGGUGAACUUCCUUCCUGUAAAAAAAGUAAUCGGAACGAGCGAAAAAAUGACAGACAGCUAAAAAGGCCGAAGAAAUCGAAUGUUGAAAUCGUAUGUGGAAUUGAGUCUGAGUAAAAAGUAAAUGGCAUCGUUUAUAAUCAAAAAGAAACGUAAAAGGUAAUUAUUUCUGAAAGGCUACUUCACUGUUCUUUUAAACUCAGCCUUUCCUUGUCGGUGGUGUAGGUGCUCAUCUUAUAGAAAUAAUCUACUCAUUGAACUAGAUCUCGAAAAAACUAACUGAAUUUGAAAUCUGGUAGUGAAAAAACUUUUUGCUAAAAAAAAAAUAAAAAUAUUUGGAGCUCUGGCUGCUUUGUUUCAUGGUCACAAUGACCUGCUUGAUAUUAAUAUGACCGUAGAUCACAUUUUCACACACAUUUCUACGAAUAAAUACAAAAACAAACACAUAUUGAUGACCUUUUUUUAAAAAGGCAUAAAUGUAAUUAUGAGACUGUAAUACAUACAUAAUAUUGUAGUUUUUGUUAUUGUAAAGAAUGAUAUUAUAUCUAUGACUUGUAGUAUAAAAAUCCCUUUAUUUAGUAUCGGAUUUUCCAAAAUUCUACUGGGAGACCAGUUUAUUAAGAAAAACGUGAUUGGUAAAACUCUAGGAAAAAAAUUCCUAUGCUUGUUCAUAUUAAACACGAGAUACAUAAAUUUUAAAAUAAAUGCUGAAUGAGCAAAAAUGUUUAUACUGAUUUUAACAUUAGUCAUUUUGACACCAGUGACCUCUUUCAACAUAAAAAGUCAGAGGACCAUUAAAUGUAUCCACUUGCCAAAUAAUAUGAAAUAUAUCAUUGAAUAAAUUAAGUAAUUAGGAGAAAUUCAAGAUUUUGGUCUUGCGUAUGGCACACUUUUUGUAACAUGCUGCACAUGAUUAUGUGCAGGGUCAUUUUAGAGUGGCCUGAUGCAUGGCUGAGUUUUGAGCCGACAAGAUUUUCUAACUGCUAAGAAAGCUACAUAAAUCAGAAGUGUAGCCCAAAACCUGCAAAUGAAGCUUCCGUAAGAAAAUCUGCAAUGUAAUAAUCAGUUCAGUUUACAAUCCAAUCAAAUCGGCUUCGCUUAUUUCAAAAAUGUGUAUACCUAGAUCAUUGUAUGGUUGCGAAUUGUGGUUUAACCUUAAGAAGACUAUAAACAACUUGAUAGAUUUCUUAGACUAGCAACAAAAUGAUGCCAAGCUCAGUUUUAGCAAAACAUGUGUUCAACGUAAGAUUAUCAAUUUAUGUAUGUACCGAAGAGGAAAAACAGCAUGGGUUUGUUCCAGAUAUUGUAACUAUUCUUAGGAAACAUAAACACUCAAUGUUUUUAAAAAGUAAAUAGAAAGUGGUGUUUUUCCGUCAAAAGAGUCAUGGUAAAUGUUAUGCAGAACAAAAAAAUAAAUAUUUUUGAAACAUAAAAGUAUCCUUUAGGAUGGUUAAUGAUGACUUUCAUAAAUUUCGUUUUUUACAUACAAACAUAGGGAGGUCAAUUUUAUGAGAAUGUUCUUAUAACUCAACAAGCUUAAAACACGCUAUUCAGAUUAGCAAAUUAUACAUAAGAAAACAAAAUAAUACAAACAUUUCAAUGUUUCUUGAUUGUGGAACACUCUGCUAUGAUGUCAUCAAACAUGUUAUUGUAAAUUGUAAUGAAAUGGAACUUUUUCGAAAAGAAUUGUUAAAAACUGUUCAUAAAUAUAUUUAUUAGAAUAGCAAUCGCAAAUGUUUACUUUUGCAUUAAAAUGCACGAAGUAUACCAACCUCGUAGAGACGAUGAUUUUGCUUUAACAGUAUUAUGUUAAAUAUGCGUGCAAGUUGUCAUAAUAAUAUUGCUUUUUAGAAGAUAAUACGAUACUGUCAUUAGUGAUAACUGUACAAGCAUCAAAAGUAUAUCACAAGAUAAAAAAUUGUAUAAUGAAAAUGUAAAUACUCAUGAACUUAAAUAAUCUAUGUCUAUUCGAUAAUUAUUCUAAGUUUAAGUAUUAAUGCUUAUGCCUUUUUCACUUGAUAUUUUCAUGUUGCAUUUGAUCUGUACUUAACAAAUAUGUUAUGCGUGUUAUUACCACCAAUGUCUCCUGUUUAUGCAAAAUUGUAUAUGUGUAUAUUUGUUAUUUUUCAGUUAAAAACAUUGUAUUAUAAUGUUUAUCACUUAAAUGUUGAAAUAAAGAGUAUAUAUGCACCUACAAAUUUUAUGUGUUCAUAGGAUAUUUGCGCAAAUAAUAUUUGCCUGUAACAGUGGCACAUUUAUAUACUUAAAGGCAUAUUUCAUAAAAACCAUGUACAGUAUAUAUUGAUGAGAUUAAGCUGUGUGUUGUAAUUAUAUUGUAAGUACAAUUAUCAUUAUGUUGCUUGCAAACAAAUAUAUCUGCAUUAACAAUAAUUAUAUAAAACUUUAAAUAAAGACCAUUUCAUACUUUGUAUUGACAUAUGAGUGUUGUUAAAUAAUAGUCAUCCUUUCAGAUCCGGAAUUAUAAAAAAGUAUUAGAGUCAAUAAUGCAUAGAUUCCAACCUAAGU